CGCGCCUCGCGCCGCCCCUUCCGGCCCGGCGAUGGCGGAGGCCGAGGAGGAGCUGGCGCACGCCGAGGUGCUGGAGCUCUUCCAGGCGGCGCUGGCGCGGCUGGUGCAGGACCCGCUGCUCUGCGACCUCCCGCCGCAGGUGACGCCGGAGGAGAUCGGCUCUCAGGUGGCGCUGGAGUACGGGCAGGCCAUGACGGUGCGCGUCUGCAAGGCGGACGGCGAGACCAUGCCCGUGGUGGUGGUGCAGAACGCGACCGUGCUGGAGCUGAAGAAGGCGCUGCGGAGGCACGUCCAGCUGCGGCAGGCGCGGCAGGGCGGCGCCCAGCACCUCAGCUGGAAGUACAUAUGGAGGACGUACCACCUAACCUACGCUGGAGAGAAACUGGCAGAUGACAGAAAGAAGCUGAGAGAGUAUGGCAUCAGAAACCGGGAUGAGGUCAGCUUCAUUAAGAAACUUCGAAAGUAACCUGUCAGACUUGAUGAAUCUCUGGAAAUCACUGUCAGAAAUGUGGCAGGUUGUUAACUAAUGCCUAGGAAGAUGAGGUCUCUGUGUUACACGUGACUGUCACCAUCCAGUUCAUUUGAUCCUCCUAGACAGCAGAGAAUCCAGCUCUACCAUGACCAGGCACUGGAUCCAGCACUCUCCUAGAGGAAAAGACUGUACCAUUUCCCAGAGAAGCAAACUCCAGUUGAAUAGAAAUUCCUACAUGUUUUCGCAGUCACUGUUCAAAAUGUUUCCCUCUGAGCUGUAUGCUGAAUGCACUAUCUGUGAUUAAAGAGGCUCUCUAGUUUUC